rnacentral:lncRNA from 1 species
AUCGGUAGUAAACGGCCAUAAUAGCCAUAGAAGUGAUACCGAAGCUCGACAUCACUGCGGCUAUCAGAUAAGUGAACCUCUCCGAUUUCUUCCUCUCCAGCUUCUCAGCCAGACGCAGCGCGAGGUACUCCGCGUCUAUGGCGUUCGUGUCCAGAGAGCUUGUUUUCUCUGGACUCUCAUCAUUGUUGAUUGGAGAACUCUGCCUCCGAUCCGAGACGACGUAGCAGACGGAUAAUCCUCUGAAGCGGAGGAGAGACGACGGCAAUCCGGUUAAGGAAGUUGGAUGGUGCAGGCGGAGACUGGAGGAGGAAGAGAAAGCGCGGUGGAGCGGCUUGAAUGUUAGGGCGGUUGAUAGACCUGCCGCCAUGGAAGAAGAAGAAGAAGCUCCGGCGAGAGUUAUCUCCACUUUGGUGAGGUCUCUAACCUUUUUAUGCGAGAGGGAAAGAAAGAGAGAGAGAGAGAGAUGUGGUGUAGAAUGCUCUGUGGCCAAAGAUGAUUUUGUUUGGGUCACUAAAAAUGAAAAUACGUUUUGGAAUUAAAUAUGCAGAAUAUACAAGUGACGGACGGUUCUGUUUCGUGUGACGAAAUUUGACCCCUAAUUCUUUUUCUAAUGGACUAAUCUACCCCCCACAGGCCCACUCUUAUAUUUUAUGAAAAUUACAUUUUCUGCCAAUCAAUUCUUUUUUUGUCCUCUUUGCAUUUGGUGUGGUCUUUGACCAUUUGGUUAAUUGUUCAGAGAUACAAUUACUGAAAAGAAAUUAUUUAAUUAGGCAAAAUAUAAGGAUUAAUCAUCUCUAUAAUAUUAUUUGAGAAGUCAGUUUCCUAUGUGUCACUCUCACGUUAACUCUCACGAUGGUUGAUUACACUGUUACCCUUAAUGAAUUAAUUUACAUUUUUAUUUAGUUUCCUUUUUAAAAAAAUCCGAAAAAUAUACACAUAUAAUAAAAAAGGAAUUUUUUAUAAAGUUAAAAAAAAAAGAAUUGAAAACCGAAAAUAUAUGUAUAUAUAAUAUGAUUUCAUAAAAAAAAGGAAAGUUCACAAAAUAGUAAUACUAGAUUUAAAAAAUAUUUCUAAAUAACAUAAAAUAUAAUUUUGAAGUAAUAAAAUACUUUCCUUAUAUCUAUAUUUUCUUAGAUGAAAAUUAUAAAUUUCUAUAUAAUGUGAUUUCAUUAAAAACAGUUUACAUAGAUAAUCUUGAUAUUAGAAAAAAAAUAUUAUUUAUUUUAAAACAUAAUGUUAAAAAAUACAAAAAGUUCAAAGUAAAAAAAAUAAUUUUAUAUAUCUAUAUAUUUUCUUAGAUGAAUACAUAAAAUAAUUAAGUAACAUAAACUGAUAUAUGUUUAAUUGUCUACAAAUAGUUUAAAAUUAGUAAUAUUGAAAUGUUUUAUUUAUUUUUCUUAUAUUUAGUUGACUAUAAUAUCUUUGCUGUUGUGAGAUUCAGUAUACACAUCCUCACAUCAUCAAGGAAGAAGCCGACGCGGGUGAUGCUGAUGACAAUGAGAUUAGUAAGUCUCAAUCAAAGUUCAUCGUUUUGGUCCUACCUGUUGUGAGAUGUUUUGACGUGGAAACUUGUUUCUUUUAUUUCAGGAGGAACAUGGGCAAUGUCUUCUUUCUCAUUCGACUACUGUUUUUUGGCUGAGGUCACUGCUUCAAAUCUAAAAGCAGACAAACUUGUGAGUCAAUUUUCAUACGUAUAAACCAUAUUUAGUUAGUCAAUUUUCAUAUGUAUAAAUCAUAUUCUGUGUUUGCAGUAUCUUCCUACUAGUGCUUUGAACAAACAAUGCCAAGAGAUGAUACUAGUGAACAAAGAGGAAAAUUCAUGGACAGCGAGUUUGCGAUUUAGCGAAUCAGGCGGCAUGUAUUACAUCACAAGAGGCUGGGAAAAGUUUUGUCGUGAUAACAUAUGCGACAUAGGAGACUUAUUUGUGUUCAAUCUGGUUGGAGAUGGGAAAUCUACUCCAUUGUUGUGUGUAUGUCCGGAAAGUAAAGAGUGUUCUGAACUACUGAGCAAACACUUGAGCAGAAAGCGUGGUGAGUCUUCUCCAUUGCCUUGCUUGAGACGUCUUUAACAUGCGUGUUCUUUCUUUGCUUCUGGUUUAACUUGCUUGUUUGGUUUUGUUCUGCAGGUGACAUUGCUUCUGGCUCACGGGUGAAUUAGGAGAAUAGUCAAGUAGUAUUCCGUCUCUUUAGCUUGCGUCUCUUUAGCUAUGUAUCUCGGACUUGUUUAGAGCUUAUAUCCUCUUGUUUUCCUUGCUACAAUUUACUUGUAUGAUCAGUUCAGUUUAGACUCAAGUUCUUGUGUUUCUCGAGUAUCAACUUACUUAUAAGUUUAAAUCUUUUUCUUCUACUCUUGUAAGUUUAAAUAUGUUUAGCUAACUACAAUCUUGCUUCUCUUCAUUCUCUUCUCUUUUAUCUCAUGUUUAGUCAAUCUCAAUCUUCAGUUGACCUUGAUUCACCUGAACCUUUUUGGUUCGGUAGCUAACUACAAUAAUUAGUUUAUCUUUAUAUCUUUAUGUUUAAUUAUACAAAUAAUAAAACCUCAAUUUCAGUUUUAAAAAAAAAUUAAUAAUAUUUUUUUUUAUAAGGACCCAGUUUCGGAAACACCAUUGGACUACCAGUUUUGAUUCGAAUCCUUAACUAUUCAAAAAAAAAAAUUACUAAAAUAUUUCUAAGGAUUCAUUGGUGAGGUUCACCGUUGCAUAUGCUCUCAGUGCGUUAUUGGUUACACUGUAUCGUCGACUUUUCUUUCGCACUUUUGUGCCGUUGCCUAAUUAUAUGCUUCCACGCAACCCCAUCCUCUCCAACUUUUCACCAUAAACAAUCAAAUUAUUUGCCCCUUAUCUCCUGUGAUUUGAUUGGAUAGUCUCGUAGGAGUGUAAAUACACUUGGAAUCGGUGCGAGUAUAAUGAGGAAAUGUUGUGAUGUAUCCACUCAUCAGUGAGUUAGUUACAAAAUUAUAAUGGGACAGCCGACAGGCUAGCUCAGCACGUAACACGUAUCCAUAACUUUACCUUUAAAAGCCAUCUCCCUUUUUAUGUUCUCACCAGCCAAACUUAUUUUUGUAUAUAGAACUCGAUCGUACCAUAUUGUGAUGGCCUAUUAAUAUAUGCUGUGGUAAAUUAUUGAGUACUAAUGAAAGCUUUGACUAUACAGUGAUUUUGUGUUAUUGAAUGAACCGGUGGAAGCAGUAGGGUUUACACUACUUGAAUACUGAUCUUAAACUUGUAGACUGACAGUUUAGUCUCAUAUUGAUCUCCUAUAUUCGCAUGUUAUGUUCUAUUUACUAGUAAAAGCUUCAGUUUUUGGAGUUUAAAACACAUUCGUUCCAGUUCUAUUGAAUUCUUAAUUAACAAAACAUACAGUAUAUUCAAUUUUUAAGACUUAAGUCUCCUUAUUCAUCUUCUACCUUUUUAAAUAGUAUAAUUCAUCUUCUACCUUUGCAUGUUCUAGUCACUCAUAAAUGUCUUCUAUUACUUUAGUUAAAUGAUUUGAGUGAUUGCAUAUGCAAUCGAAUUCAACUUUUCCUUUAUUUUGGAACUUUUAUAAUUCAGAAGUAUAACGUUACACGCAAGUACGCAACGAUGGCAUUCCACGAGAUCGCGCGAAGAAGUGGUCAUACUGUGAACGUAAAAGCUUAUAUUAGACUAAGGUAAAGAAGAAAAAUCCAUAAUUUAGCCUAGGGAGAUGUCAUUUGAUAUGUCACAUAUGUAUGAUUGUAUCACUUCAUGAAUAUUAUAUGUUGGUUGCAAACUUGCAUGCAUAAGCAAACGAUAUUCUGGUACAAGUCAAAAUACGUUUCAUUUUUAAUUUUGAUAUUAUAUAAUAUCAGUUAUGUUAUGCAUCACAUGAUGACCUUGUUCACAUUCAGUGAAUCACUGUAAGAGAUCAUGACUGUUUAUCUAAGAAAUAUGCAAAAUAAAUUAGUGACCAGAUGACGACUUCCGAAAUAGCGGAGGGUAUGCAAAUCAUAGGGAUAAUUAUAAUUAGCAUGUAUUUGAAAAUCAAAAUCGGCUUAUAGGAUUUAUCAACAUAGACCGUAUUUCAGACCAUCCAUGACAAAGGACAAAAAAACAAAAAGUUGAGACUUAAAACAUGUUUAGUCAAGAACUCGACCCCUUUUUGUACAGUUUGAUUCUCCGACUUAUCUCUUUCUCUAACUCUUCAUCUCCUCCAACUUCUUCCAGUUCCUGCUUAUCACAAUUCCAAUGUCAAAUUAUUAAAAGCUACACAUAAAGAUGAUGACUAAAGAAUCUAAAGCAAAUCCAGAAACUUGCCUUUGGUCCAAGAAACAGCCCAUAUGGCACACCAUCGAAUUUGUCUGUGUGAUGCAGCUGAACACACAAUCACACAACGACACAAUUAAAAUCAAUUUUCUAAUUAGCAAUGAGAACAAAGCUACAUCAUAAGAAGCUACCAUUAUUUUAUAUUUUUAGCACCGACUAAAUCUAAACAAAAUCUAAAACAAAUAGAGACAUAAAUCAAUAGAAUAAGCUACUUACUAACUAGUACUAGUCAUUAAGAAAUGUAACAAAAUAUUAUUUCUAGUUUUAGUAAAUCACCGUUAUAACUAAUGUGGUUGACUGAUCAAGUCAAUGAGAUUAAUACCUGGUGAGCGGCAGCGACCUUUCGGAGAUAAGGAACGUCGGCGAUGGGACCCACAGGGAACCUCUUGUGCACCAAACCAUCGUGGACAAACAUGUAGGCGAUUCCAAACACUGUUAUUCCUAACCCCUGUUUACGAGGAGUGACAACAACAACAUGUGAGCGCCCAAACAAAAACAAAGGUAAAACACCACCAAUCCAUCUUAUGGUAUUAAUGAAGCCAACGAGUCAUUUGUCAUCGCAUGAACCGAAAAUCCAAACUUUCUCUAUUUAAAAAAUAAAUAGAGAGGGACGGAAGAUACUGGAAGAGAGAUACGUUUUGUUUUAAAAUACUGAGUACUAUGUCUGAAGUUAUUUAAUCUUAAAUAUUAAAAUAAUUAGUCUAACCAUAUACAGUCAAAGACGUUGUAAGUUGUAACCAUAAUUAAGACCAAUGACGUUCAAUCUUUUGCUACUUACUGCGCCAAAGCAGAGGCCAGGAACGAGUCCUUUAUUGAAGAAACCAUAAGAGAGGAGAGCAAUCGCAGGAACAGCGUUGACUAUGGCGAACACAUCGUUCAACUCAAACGGACCUUCUCUAGGUUUGUGAUGUGACUGCAAAUAGAGAGGAGAAUAAUCAAAUAACAGUAGAUUAACAAGCAGCUUGACUUUGAAUACUCAGAAUUAAGAAUUUUAUUGAAUUGUCAUCAGAAAUGAAAAGGUAGUAAACCUCAUGCAUGUUCCAUAAAGAAGCGUGCCAGAGAGCUUUAUGAGCCCAUCUUGCCCAAAACUCCAUACCAACCUGGUUUCAAAAUAUUCCAACACUCAGUGAGAUUCAGACAAGCUCGUCUUAAGAAAAUGAAAUAAAAAGACUUUGGACUUACAGCAGCACCAACAGAUAGAGCGAAUGUACCGAACAUCUCCGACAUUGGGAUCUCACCUCCCUGUUUGUUUUUAUUACAAUUCAAAACACUUACAUAAAACUGUCGGAACCAGAACGAAUUACAAAAAUAAAAUAAAAAAGAAUUUCAAAAAAUCAAAUUUACCUCCAUCUGCCAAGAGAAUCGGUAGUAAACGGCCAUAAUAGCCAUAGAAGUGAUACCGAAGCUCGACAUCACUGCGGCUAUCAGAUAAGUGAACCUCUCCGAUUUCUUCCUCUCCAGCUUCUCAGCCAGACGCAGCGCGAGGUACUCCGCGUCUAUGGCGUUCGUGUCCAGAGAGCUUGUUUUCUCUGGACUCUCAUCAUUGUUGAUUGGAGAACUCUGCCUCCGAUCCGAGACGACGUAGCAGACGGAUAAUCCUCUGAAGCGGAGGAGAGACGACGGCAAUCC